rnacentral:rRNA from 1 species
AUUCCCCCAGUAGCGGCGAGCGAACGGGGAGCAGCCCAGAGUCUGAAUCAGCUUGUGUGUUAGUGGAACGGUCUGGAAAGUCCGACGGUACAGGGUGAUAGUCCCGUACACCAAAAUGCACAGGUUGUGAACUCGAAGAGUAGGGCGGGACACGUGGUAUCCUGUCUGAAUAUGGGGGGACCAUCCUCCAAGGCUAAAUACUCCUGACUGACCGAUAGUGAACCAGUACCGUGAGGGAAAGGCGAAAAGAACCCCGGCGAGGGGAGUGAAAAAGAACCUGAAACCGUGUACGUACAAGCAGUGGGAGCACCUU